GACGAACGCUGGCGGCGUGCCUAAUACAUGCAAGUUGAGCGAUGAAGCUUGGUGCUUGCACCAAUUUGAAGAGCAGCGAACGGGUGAGUAACGCGUGGGGAAUCUGCCUUUGAGCGGGGGACAACAUUUGGAAACGAAUGCUAAUACCGCAUAACAACUUUAAACAUAAGUUUUAAGUUUGAAAGAUGCAAUUGCAUCACUCAAAGAUGAUCCCGCGUUGUAUUAGUUAGUUGGUGAGGUAAAGGCUCACCAAGGCGAUGAUACAUAGCCGACCUGAGAGGGUGAUCGGCCACAUUGGGACUGAGACACGGCCCAAACUCCUACGGGAGGCAGCAGUAGGGAAUCUUCGGCAAUGGACGAAAGUCUGACCGAGCAACGCCGCGUGAGUGAAGAAGGUUUUCGGAUCGUAAAACUCUGUUGGUAGAGAAGAACGUUGGUGAGAGUGGAAAGCUCAUCAAGUGACGGUAACUACCCAGAAAGGGACGGCUAACUACGUG
rnacentral:rRNA from 1 species